GAUAGCAGCGAUAGCACGUUGAAUGCACCAGUUCUCAACGGAUAACUGAAGUUGAGCAACGUUUAGCGUGGUUAAUAUCCGGAAGGGUGAUCAUAUAGACAAUCACGUUUUCUUGGCU
rnacentral:rRNA from 1 species